rnacentral:lncRNA from 1 species
UCUGCCAUUGUCGGUGAUGAGGACCUUUGGUAUCCCAAACCUGCAAAUGAUAGACCUCCAAGUGAAGGCUCUUAGCUUGGGCUCCGAUAUUGUGGCGAAAGGUUCGGCCUCUACCCAUUUUGUGAAGUACUCUACUGCUACAGCAACAAACUUUAAUUGACCUCUUGCCACAGGAAAGGGACCGAGGAUGUCAAUUCCCCAUUGUUCAAACGGGGCCGAACA